AGAGUUUGAUCCUGGCUCAGAUUGAACGCUGGCGGCAUGCCUUACACAUGCAAGUCGAACGCGAAAGCGGGGCAACCCGCAAGUAGAGUGGCGAACGGGUGAGUAAUACAUCGGAACAUUUCCAGUAGCGGGGGAUAACCUGUCGAAAGAUAGGCUAAUACCGCAUACGCCCUACGGGGGAAAGCGGAGGACCGCAAGGCUUCGCACUAUUGGAGUGGCCGAUGUCGGAUUAGCUAGUUGGUGGGGUAAAAGCCCACCAAGGCGACGAUCCGUAGCUGGUCUGAGAGGACGAUCAGCCACACUGGAACUGAGACACGGUCCAGACUCCUACGGGAGGCAGCAGUGGGGAAUUUUGGACAAUGGGCGCAAGCCUGAUCCAGCCAUGCCGCGUGAGUGAAGAAGGCCUUCGGGUUGUAAAGCUCUUUCGGUGGGGACGAAAAGGUUCGCGCUAAUACCGCGGACUAAUGACG
rnacentral:rRNA from 1 species